UUAAGCAGCCUCCAGUAUCAGAAGGACCAAGGAAGACAAAACAUCAAAACUAAUUAAGCAGCCUCCAGUAUCAGAACGACCAUGGAAGACAAAACAACAAAAUUAAGGCAAACCCGUGCAAAGGAGCUGGCACACGGAGGUUACUUUGCCCAUGAAGGCGGAGAACCUGACGGACUUUCCAGCCUGCUUGACGCACAGCAGGUACACGGGGACGCCUGCCAGACAGAUCCCAAUGGC